rnacentral:rRNA from 1 species
UGACGUUAGCUGCAGAAGAAGCACCGGCUAACUCCGUGCCAGCAGCCGCGGUAAUACGGAGGGUGCGAGCGUUAUCGGAAUUACUGGGCGUAAAGCGCAUGCAGGUGGUUCGUUAAGUCAGAUGUGAAAGCCCGGGGCUCAACCUCGGAACUGCAUUUGAAACUGGCGGACUAGAGUACUGUAGAGGGGGGUAGAAUUUCAGGUGUAGCGGUGAAAUGCGUAGAGAUCUGAAGGAAUACCGGUGGCGAAGGCGGCCCCCUGGACAGAUACUGACACUCAGAUGCGAAAGCGUGGGGAGCAAACAGGAUUAGAUACCCUGGUAGUCCACGCCGUAAACGAUGUCUACUUGGAGGUUGUGGCCUUGAGCCGUGGCUUUCGGAGCUAACGCGUUAAGUAGACCGCCUGGGGAGUACGGUCGCAAGAUUAAAACUCAAAUGAAUUGACGGGGGCCCGCACAAGCGGUGGAGCAUGUGGUUUAAUUCGAUGCAACGCGAAGAACCUUACCUACUCUUGACAUCCAGAGAAGCCAGCGGAGACGCAGGUGUGCCUUCGGGAGCUCUGAGACAGGUGCUGCAUGGCUGUCGUCAGCUCGUGUUAUGAAAU